rnacentral:rRNA from 1 species
GAUGAACGCUGGCGGCGUGCCUAAUACAUGCAAGUCGAGCGAAUGGAUUAAGAGCUUGCUCUUAUGAAGUUAGCGGCGGACGGGUGAGUAACACGUGGGUAACCUGCCCAUAAGACUGGGAUAACUCCGGGAAACCGGGGCUAAUACCGGAUAACAUUUUGAACCGCAUGGUUCGAAAUUGAAAGGCGGCUUCGGCUGUCACUUAUGGAUGGACCCGCGUCGCAUUAGCUAGUUGGUGAGGUAACGGCUCACCAAGGCAACGAUGCGUAGCCGACCUGAGAGGGUGAUCGGCCACACUGGGACUGAGACACGGCCCAGACCCCUACGGGAGGGAGCAGUAGGGAAUCUUCCGCAAUGGACGAAAGUCUGACGGAGCAACGCCGCGUGAGGGAUGAAGGCUUUCGGGUCGUAAAACUCUGUUGUUAGGGAAGAACAAGUGCUAGUUGAAUAAGCUGGCACCUUGACGGUACCUAACCAGAAAGCCACGGCUAACUACGUGCCAGCCGCCGCCGUAA